rnacentral:misc_RNA from 1 species
ACAAACUUGGUCAUUUAGAGGAAGUAAAAGUCGUAACAAGGUCUCCGUUGGUGAACCAGCGGAGGGAUCAUUACAGGACUCGCAAGACUCCCGUAACCCACGCGAACCUUACCUUUGCAUCGUUGCCUCGGCGGGCUGCGCUCCCCGGAGCGCCUCUGCCCCCCCGCCGGCGGCCUACAACUCUUCUUGCUUCUUAAGCGUUGGCAUCUCCGAGUAAAAACACAAACGAAUCAAAACUUUCAACAACGGAUCUCUUGGUUCUGGCAUCGAUGAAGAACGCAGC